rfam:Stegodyphus mimosarum contig20971, whole genome shotgun sequence.
GUCUUCGUGGUGUAGUGGUCAGCACGCUCGACGCGUAAUCGAGAGGUCAGUAGUUCGAUUCCCGGCGAAGGCG